ACGGAGGGUGCAAACGUUGUUCGGAAUCACUGGGCGUAAAGGGCGCGUAGGCGGACUUGUAAGUCGGGAGUGAAAACUCGGGGCUCAACCCCGAGCCUGCUUCCGAAACUGCGAGUCUUGAGGACCGGAGAGGAAAGUGGAAUUCCUAGUGUAGCGGUGGAAUGCGUAGAUAUUAGGAAGAACACCAGUGGCGAAGGCGACUUUCUGGACGGUUCCUGACGCUGAGGCGCGAAAGCUAGGGGAGCAAACAGGA
rnacentral:rRNA from 1 species